rnacentral:sRNA from 1 species
GAAUUGAUUGAAAAUAUUUUGUUAGGGAAGCAAAUGUCCAUCGCAAUAGUGAGAAAUAAAACGGAAGUGUUGUAUUUGACCAAUGAGAUGACCUAUAAUUAUGACAGCCCAGAACUUAAGCUUUACACAGAGAAUCCUUUCCAAAUUUGGCCAGGAGAUGAGAUAGUGACACGAUGUACGUACUCAACUAGCAAGAGGAACAGUUCCACGAUGGCUGGUCAAUCAACAAGUGAUGAGAUGUGCACUGGCUUCUUAGUUUACU